rnacentral:misc_RNA from 1 species
CUCUUUCCUCUUCUCCCAUGACUGGUUGUUGGACUCGCUGUGAUGAUAAGCUCUUUGAAGAGGCUUUGGUUCGUUUUGAGGAGGAAUCACCUGAUCGGUGGAAGAAAAUUGCUAAUUAUAUAAGAAAAUCUGUGCAAGAAGUGACACAACAUUAUGAGGAUCUGGUUCAUGAUGUUAUUGAGAUUGAUUCAGGACGCGUAGAGUUACCCAGUUACAAUGAUGAUUUCAUUGACUCAACGUCAAAUCAGAUUUCCUUUGGCAAUAAAACGAGGCUGGGCGAGACUGAAAGGAAGAAAGGAACGCCGUGGACGGAAGAAGAACACAGGAAAUU